UAGCGAACGGGUGAGUAACGCGUAGGUAAUCUGCCUUCAAGUGGGGGACAACCCGGGGAAGCCCGGGCUAAUACCGCAUGUGUCCGUAAGGAUAAAGCCGGCCUCUGAAUAUGCUGGUGCUUGGAGAUGAGCCUGCGUCUGAUUAGCUGGUUGGUGGGGUAAUGGCUCACCAAGGCGAUGAUAAGUAGGCGGCUUUAACGAGUGGUCGCCCACACUGGGAUUGAGAUACGGCCCAGACUCCUACGGGAGGCAGCAGUCGAGGAUAGUCUACAAUGGUCGAAAGAUUGAUAGUGCGACGCCGCGUGAACGAUGAAGCAUUUCGGUGUGUAAAGUUCUUUUCUAUGCGAGCAGAGGGAGGUAUGUGAACAAUGUGCUUUCUAGGAUAUUAGUAUAGGAAUAAGCCACGGCUAACUCCGUGCCAGCAGCCGCGGUAAUACGGGGGUGGCGAGCGUUGUCCGGAAUUACUAGGCGUAAAGGGCAGGUAGGCGGAUAGAUAAGUUAAUCGUUAAAGACCGGCGCUCACCGUCGGGGCUGCGGUUGAUACUGUUUAUCUGGAAUCGAGUGGGGGAAGACGGAAUUCCUGGUGUAGCGGUGGAAUGCGCAGAUAUCAGGAGGAACACCGAAGGCGAAGGCAGUCUUCUACGCUUGUAUUGACGCUAAACUGCGAAGGUGCGGGUAUCAAACAGGAUUAGAUACCCUGGUAGUCCGCACAGUAAACGAUAUUCACUAGGUGUUGGCGGGAUAGACCCGUCGGUGCCGUAGCUAACGCGAUAAGUGAAUCGCCUGGGGGAGUACGAUCGCAAGGUUGAAACUCAAAGGAAUUGACGGGGGCCCGCACAAGCGGUGGAGCAUGUGGUUUAAUUCGAUGCAACGCGAAGAACCUUACCUGGGCUUGACA
rnacentral:rRNA from 1 species